UUGGAAGUAUUUUAUGACUUCAAUAACGAUCCGUGUCAGUUCAGCAAAAGUAGAGAUGGGAAACGAACCGAACCCGAACCAACCGAACCCGAACUUUAAAACUGAUCGGUACGAACCGAACGAGCUGUCCUUACCUUGACCGAACUGAAUCAAAGAUUUUGCAAUAUUUUUUUGACAAACGUUGCUUCCACUACACAGACACCGCCGACCACGACGUAU
rnacentral:sRNA from 1 species